ACCUCCGUACGGGAGGCAGCAGGAUGGGGAAUAUUGGCACAAUGGGCGCAAGCCUGAUGCAGCCAUGCCGCGUGUAUGAAGAAGGCCUUCGGGUUGUAAAGUACUUUCAGCAGUGAGGAAGGUGGGUAUGUUAAUAGCAUAUUCAUUUGACGUUAGCUGCAGAAGAAGCACCGGCUAACUCCGUGCCAGCAGCCGCGGUAAUACGGAGGGUGCGAGCGUUAAUCGGAAUUACUGGGCGUAAAGCGCAUGCAGGUGGUUUGUUAAGUCAGAUGUGAAAGCCCGGGGCUCAACCUCGGAAUUGCAUUUGAAACUGGCAAACUAGAGUACUGUAGAGGGGGGUAGAAUUUCAGGUGUAGCGGUGAAAUGCGUAGAGAUCUGAAGGAAUACCGGUGGCGAAGGCGGCCCCCUGGACAGAUACUGACACUCAGAUGCGAAAGCGUGGGGAGCAAACAGGAUUAGAUACCCUGGUAGGAUAGCGU
rnacentral:rRNA from 1 species